CUACGGGUUGCACCAGUGAGGAAUUUUGCGCAAUGGGGGAGACCCUGACGCAGCAACGCCGCGUGAGUGAAGAAGGCCCUUGGGUCGUAAAGCUCUGUCAAUGGGGAAGAAGUUACUUGGUAUUAAUAGUGCCUUGUAUUGACGGUACCCAUGAAGGAAGCACCGGCUAACUCCGUGCCAGUAGCCGCGGUAAUACGGGGGGUGCAAGCGUUAUUCGGAAUUAUUGGGCGUAAAGGGCACGCAGGCGGUCCUGUCAGUCAGAUGUGAAAGCCCGGGGCUCAACCCCGGACGUGCAUUUGAAACAGCAGGACUUGAGUACGGGAGAGGAAAGGGGAAUUCCUGGUGUAGAGGUGAAAUUCGUAGAUAUCAGGAGGAACACCGGUGGCGAAGGCGCCUUUCUGGACCGAUACUGACGCUGAGGUGCGAAGGCGUGGGUAGCGAACGGGAUUAGAUACCCCAGUAGUC
rnacentral:rRNA from 1 species